rnacentral:rRNA from 1 species
CCUACGGGAGGCAGCAGUGGGGAAUAUUGCACAAUGGGCGAAACCCUGAUCCAGCCACGCCGCGUGAAUGAAGAAGUACCUCGGGAUGUAAAGCUCUAUCAGCAGGGAAGAAAAGGACGGUACUUGUAUAAGUUGUCCUGGCUAACUACGUGCCAGCAGCCGCGGUAACACGUCGGGCGCAAGCGUUAUCCGGAUUUACUGGGUGUAAAGGGAGCGUAGACGGCAUGGCAAGUCUGGAGUGAAAGGCGCGGGCUCAAUCCGCGAACUGCACUGGAAACUGGACGGCUGGAGUGCAGGAGAAGUAGGUGGAAUUCGUGGUGUAGCGGUGAAAUGCGUAGAUAUUAGGAGGAACACCGGUGGCGAAGGCGGCUUACUGGACUGUAACUGACGUUGAGGCUCGAAAGCGUGGGGAGCGAACAGGAUUAGAUACCCUAGUAGUC